CCUACGGGAGGCAGCAGUGAGGAAUAUUGGACAAUGGGCGCAAGCCUGAUCCAGCCAUGCCGCGUGCAGGAAGAAGCAUCUAUGGUGUGUAAACUGCUUUUGUACAGGAAGAAACACUCCCUCGUGAGGGAGCUUGACGGUACUGUAAGAAUAAGGACCGGCUAACUCCGUGCCAGCAGCCGCGGUAAUACGGAGGGUCCGAGCGUUAUCCGGAAUCAUUGGGUUUAAAGGGUCCGUAGGCGGUUUAAUAAGUCAGUGGUGAAAUCUGGUCGCUCAACGAUCAAACGGCCAUUGAUACUGUUAGACUUGAAUUAUAAGGAAGUAACUAGAAUAUGUAGUGUAGCGGUGAAAUGCUUAGAUAUUACAUGGAAUACCAAUUGCGAAGGCAGGUUACUACUUAUGGAUUGACGCUGAUGGACGAAAGCGUGGGGAGCGAACAGGAUUAGAUACCCUGGUAGUCCACGCCGUAAACGAUGGAUACUAGCUGUUCGGAGCAAUCUGAGUGGCUAAGCGAAAGUGAUAAGUAUCCCACCUGGGGAGUACGUUCGCAAGAAUGAAACUCAAAUGAAUUGACCGGNNGAGAGAGCGAGACGACGACGAGGGAGAGG
rnacentral:rRNA from 1 species